CCGCCCCGGCGGCGCGCGGGAGGCGGUGCCCGGUGCCGCCCCCCUCAGCCCGGCGCCAUCUUGGCGCUGUAGCAAAGGUGCUGCUGCUUUCGGCAUGCUGUGGUCACCUCUGGUGCUAUCCCCUGCGAACCGGGCUCGGGCGGCAGGACAGGCGAGAGGAGCUGCCUGGUUUAGCCUAGGGAGGGGAGGGCUGAGAGGGGAUCUCGUUUAUGCACGUCCUGUGAGGAGCGGCUGAGGGCGCAUCUCAGCCUGGCGAAAAGGAGGGACCUUAACGCUUCUACAACUACAGGCGGGUGGAGCCUGGUGUGAGUCAGGCUCUUCUCCCUCGGAGCCAGCCACACAACGAUAGGGCAUAGCCUUAAGCUGCUCCAGGGCAGCUUUAGGUUGGACAUCAGGGAAAAUCUCUUCUCAGAGAGGAUGCCUCGACAUUGGAACAGGCUGCCCAGGGAGGUGGUGCAGUCACGGUUCCUCUCGGUCUUUGAAGAAAAACUGGACGUGGCACUGAGUGCCAUGGUCUGGUUGACGUGGUGUUUGGUCAGUUUGAACUCUAUGAUCUCAGAGGUCUUUUCUAAACCAGUGUAAUUCUGUAAUGCAGAAUAAAUGCCUCAAAUAGAAUAUAAGCAUCUCAAAGUCAGGUACCAAGAGGACGGUGCCAGAAUCUUUUCAGUUGUGCCCUGUGGCAGGAUGAGGAGCAAUGGGAAUAGACUAAAGUACAAGGAACUUCACCUCAGCACGAGGAAGAGCUUUCCACUGGGGGUGGAACAGGGAGGGUGUGGGGUCAGCCUCCCUGAAAAUGUUCCAAACCCACCUGGACACGUUCCUGUGUUGCUGCUCCAGGUGACCCUGCCUCGGAAGGGGUUUGGACAAAGCGAUGUCCAGAGCUCCCUUCCAACCAUGACAAUUCCAUGAUUCUGUGAGGCAGCUGCCAGAAAAGGGGGAACCUCCUGCAGCCGGGGCUGGAGGACCUAUCCCGCAGCCAUCCCUGCUCCAGCGCCCACCCUGGGGGAGACAAGGGCGUGACUGGGGGGAAAAGUGAUGGAGGAACGUAUGUUUGUUCUUAUGUUUUGUUCUUGUGUUAAAUAGAACAGAAAUAGAGUAUGGUGUGUGGAGUUCCUCUACGAGAGGCAGGAGGUGAAGCCAGGACAUCCUCCGUGCUCCCAGGCUUUGUGAGGGACUGGCACAGCGCAGCCAAAAAUGCAUAAGGACUCCUUAGUAGACAUUUUACAGCAACGAGGACAGGACAGUUUGUAGGGAGUGCUGUUCCUUCCCAACAACAGUUGAUGUCAAGUGCUCUGAUGAUAACAUUUUGAACAGAACACUUCACUUGAGCUUUUCUAAAACACCAUUAUGACUGUGACUGUGUGUACUGGUAACUUGCUGAGGCAGGUACUCAAAUAUUGAAAGGCCAAAAAACACAGUCUCUCAGUCUGGAAAUCUUUUCCUGUUGUACCUUGUGUAACUGGGUAAUAACAAAAAAAUCUUUUAGACUUACAGUGAAAAGGAAGCAAAUCAGUGUUGACAACAGUGUACAAAAUCUGCUUUACCUCUCCCAAGAUGCGUGUGGAAAUUGUGUCACAGUAAUCCUCACUGGCAACUGUAUUUUGCAUUUACUGCAUCUGAUUUGGAACCCUAAGUUGGAAGCCAAAUUUCAUGAGAAAGGAAAUCUUCCUCCACGUCCCUCUCACACUGAAUAUGUAACACAGAAGAGAAAGCGGACCUGCUGUGCACAAAGCUGAGUGUCUGGCUGAGCUAACAAACUCAGAGCUGCCCUGACUCCAUCAGUGUCAGCACGUCCUGAUCCCAAGGUGAAAAGGUACAAACUUUCUGCUAUUUAGGGAUUACACUCAAAGUUUUUAUUCACUGCAGUCUUAGAUAAGUCUUUUCUUUUCAAAAUAAGCUUAAUAAGUCUAAAACUCCUCUCAGCAUGCUAAUUUAGUCAUUUCAUGGUUAUAGCCCUGAUUAGAGCCAGGUCCAUCUUUAGAUUCCUAUUUCUUGCAAGGAUGCACAAAGACAACGCACUAGAAGAUUUCAGUAAUCACAGCAGAUUAAGAGAGCUAAGAUAUGUGCUUCAAACAGCCCACCUGGAAUUUUUACACCAUCAGAAUACAAAGCAAUGAUGAAGAUUAUGCAACAAAUAAGACAAAGACAAGAAAAUAAGAUUCUCUUUAUAAAUAAGAGAGACAGAGAUUUUUCUGUAAGUUUUGAUUUAAAGUAAAUCUUUCUGUAAAAUUGAAUUGUUAAUUUUGAGUUUGAGAAUUUUACCAGGAUACUUUUGCUCACUGACAAAAGGGGUUUAUAUCAUUGUAUUAUCAACUAUUCCAACUCAGUGAAAACUCCCUAUUUUCUGUUUUAAGAUUGAAAUUCUUCUACAAGGAAUUUUUUGUGUCCUUGGGUGGGUCCUAUCUGAAAUACAAACUGAGGUACAGUCCUGGCUAGAGGCUCCAUCCCAUCAUGCUUGUUGUUCUACAGAGGAAUGAAGAAGACAUGCUUAGGCAGUGAUGCAUUUCAGUGCAUUAUCAACUAAUGAUUUAUGGUUAAGACUUUAAGCUAAAUUCUAGCAAACAUUUUAUUAAUAUUUUCAAUGCUGAAAUGGGAAAUGUCACAAUAUGAGUAGGCCAGUGUGCUAGAGAAGCACAUUAUGAGGAGAUGAAAAUCCUUUGAAGAUCUGGGAGACAGUACCAGUGCAGAGUGAUAAGGUGAAAUUUUAAAUGAUGUUUGAGUGAAUAAUUUUGGUGAUUCUGCUUCAACAGCAAUACUACUAAAGUGAGCCACAACUCAUCAGACAAUCCUCAUAUAACUUGGUACUUUAAAACAUUCAAAUAGAAACCACACACACAUUUUAGUUAACUAAAAAUAUACCUUGUCCAGGGACAAAAGGUCUAGAAAACUGGGACACAAUAGAAAGAGGUGUCAGUGUGGGACGGAUGUUCUUCAUGUUUGACAGCUGGGCUGGUGCUGGUGAUUGGGCCGGUGAG